rnacentral:rRNA from 1 species
AUGAGCAGCAAGCGGGUGUGCCUGUGCGUCGCCGUUUCCUCGCUCCUCCUCCUCCCACUCGCGGGCCUGGUCUCCGCGGCGGCCGGGCGAUACGACUCCAUCUUCAGCUUCGGCGGCUCCUCCUCCGACACCGGCAACAACCUCAUCGUCUUUCCCCCUAGCGACCGCGUUAACUACGUGCUGCGCCCUCCCUAUGGCUCCACCUUCUUCGGCCGUCCCACCGGCCGCUGCUCCGACGGCAGCCUGGUCAUCGAUUUCAUCGCGCAACACCUGGGCCUGCCGUUCGUCCCGCCGUCGCUGGCGCACAACGAAAGCUUCCGCCAAGGCGCCAACUUCGCCGUCAGCGGCUCCACCGCUCUGGACGCCGUUUUCUUCCACCGCCUGCUUCCCCGCACCAGGAGACCUCUCAACACCAGCCUUGGCGUGCAGGUGCAGCUGCGGUGGUUCGAGUCUCUCAAGCCUUCGCUCUGCGGCGCAACCCAAGAGUGCGAAACGUUCUUCAGUAGAUCACUCUUUGUCGUGGGGGAAUUCGGGACUAAUGAUUACGACAUCUUCGUGCUGAACGGCAUGGCAGGGAUGACGCUGAUGCCGCUAGUUCCAGAUGUCGUCGGUGCCAUCUCCAUGGCCGUCGAGCACUUGAAAGUUCAAACAGAGGCUCAUCAAGCAUGGGGCGACGAGUUUAGUCGUGCCUGGGGUGAUCCCGUUGGGAUGCGUCCCAAGAUCCUCACCGACGACUAUUGCCUCAAAGAGUACAACAAGCUAGCAAUGCACCACAACUUACUGCUGCAGGAGGCCCUGGACACGCUCCGGGUCAGGCAUCCCGACACCACCAUCGUCUAUGCCGACCAAUUCGGCCCCGUCAUGGACAUGAUGGAUUCGCCUGCCAAGUUUGCCGCCGCUGCCUUGUCUGACAGCCCCGCCGCCCUUGACGGCGUCCACCGCCGGCGACCAACCAGCAGCGCUGCACCUCCCCCCAUAUCUCCUGUCCCUGCGGGUAGGAGCUCCGCCCUACCCCGCUCGCUCUGCCGCCCUCACGGCCUCGUUGACCCCUUCCCCUUCUUCUAUACAGAAGAGCACACCGGCAGUGAGCUCUCCGGCGAGGUGUCACGGGCUCGACUGGUCUGGGACGGGACGGAGACGGGUCCGGACGCACUUCUCGCCGACGACCUCGAUGGCAGCGAUGGCGCCCGCGAGAGAGAAGCUGUCUUGAAGAGGAUGCUCUUCUUACCUCGUGUUGUGGAGGGCCCAACACGCUUCUUUGUGGUGAAGACGGUGGAAACCUACGCGAGAACCCUUUGGCUCGCCUUUUCUGGGAUGGCGCCCACCCCACAGAGGUAG